rnacentral:rRNA from 1 species
GACGAACGCUGGCGGCGUGCCUAAUACAUGCAAGUCGAGCGCAGGAAGUCGACGGAACCCUUCGGGGGGAAGUCGACGGAAUGAGCGGCGGACGGGUGAGUAACACGUAAAGAACCUGCCCUCAGGUCUGGGAUAACCACGAGAAAUCGGGGCUAAUACCGGAUGGGUCAUCGGACCGCAUGGUCCGAGGAUGAAAGGCGCUCCGGCGUCGCCCGGGGAUGGCUUUGCGGUGCAUUAGCUAGUUGGUGGGGUAAUGGCCCACCAAGGCGACGAUGCAUAGCCGAGCUGAGAGGGUGAUCGGCCACACUGGGACUGAGACACGGCCCAGACUCCUACGGGAGGCAGCGGUAGGGAAUCUUCCACAAUGGACGAAAGUCUGAUGGAGCAACGCCGCGUGAACGAUGAAGGCCUUCGGGUCGUAGAGUUCUGUUGUAAGGGAAGAACAAGUGCCGCAGGCAAUGGCGGCACCUUGACGGUACCUUGCGAGAAAGCCACGGCUAACUACGUGCCAGCCGCCGCGGUAAUAC